UACAGAGGUCCCAAGCGUUGUUCGGAUUCAUUGGGCGUAAAGGGUGCGUAGGUGGCGCCGUAAGUCAGGUGUGAAAUCUCGGGGCUUAACUCCGAAACUGCAUUUGAUACUGCGGUGCUUGAGGACUGGAGAGGAGACUGGAAUUCCUGGUGUAGCGGUGGAAUGCGCAGAUAUCAGGAGGAACACCGGUGGCGAAGGCGGGUCUCUGGGCAGUAACUGACGCUGAGGAGCGAAAGCGUGGGGAGCGAACAGG
rnacentral:rRNA from 1 species